CCCGCCGGCGACCGGCGCACGGGUGAGUAACACGUAUGCAACCUGGCCGCCACAGGGGGAUAACCCGCGGAAACGCGGCCUAAUACCCCGUGACGCCACCGGAGGGCAUCCUCCGGUGGCCAAAGGAGCGAUCCGGUGGCGGAUGGGCAUGCGGCGCAUUAGCUAGACGGCGGGGUGACGGCCCACCGUGGCGACGAUGCGUAGGGGUUCUGAGAGGAAGGUCCCCCACACUGGUACUGAGACACGGACCAGACUCCUACGGAAGGCAGCAG
rnacentral:rRNA from 1 species